CUACGGGCGCUGCAGUGGGGAAUAUUGGACAAUGGGGGAAACCCUGAUCCAGCAAUGCCGCGUGUGUGAAGAAGGCCUGCGGGUUGUAAAGCACUUUCGGUUGGGAGGACUGCUUCUAGCACUAAUAUUGUUGGAAGUUGACGUUACCUUCAGAAGAAGCACCGGCUAACUCCGUGCCAGCAGCCGCGGUGAAUACGGAGGGUGCAAGCGUUAAUCGGAAUUACUGGGCGUAAAGCGCGCGUAGGCGGCUAGAUCAGUCGGGUGUGAAAGCCCCGGGCUUAACCUGGGAACUGCAUCCGAUACUGUCUAGAUUGAGUACAGGAGAGGAGAGUGGAAUUCCACAUGUAGCGGUGAAAUGCGUAGAUAUGUGGAGGAACACCAAUGGCGAAGGCAGCUCUCUGGCCUGAUACUGACGCUGAGGUGCGAAAGCGUGGGGAGCAAACAGGAUUAGAUACCCGAGUAGUC
rnacentral:rRNA from 1 species